rnacentral:rRNA from 1 species
UUAAGACAUGCAAGUCGUACGGACGACCCAAUUGAGUAAUCAAGAGGGAAGUUAGUGGCGAAAGGGUGAGUAAUGCAUAGGUAACGUACCCCGGACUCUGGGAUAGCUGCGGAACUUUUAGUUCCUUUGCGAAAGUGCAGGUAAUACCGGAUGAUAUCGCGAAUCCGAAUGGUAACGCGAUCAAAGGUUUACUGGUCUGGGAGCGGCCUAUGUCGUAUCAGCUUGUUGGUGAGGUAACGGCUCACCAAGGCUUCGACGCGUAGCGGGACUGAGAGGUUGGCCCGCCACAUCGGGACUGAGACACUGCCCGGACCUCCACGGAGGGCUGCAGUAACGAAUAUUGCGCAAUGAGCGAAAGCUUGACGCAGCAAUGCCGCGUGUAGGAUGAAGCCCCUCGGGGUGUAAACUACUGACAGGGUGAAGAAAGGCGAAAGCUUGAUCGAUCCCAGAGGAAGGACCGGCUAACUUCGUGCCAGCAGCCGCGGUAAUACGAAGGGUCCUAGCGUUGUUCGGAAUUAUUGGGCUUAAAGCGCAUGUAGGCGGAUAGUUAAGUGUCUUGUGAAAUCCCCCGGCUCAACCGGGGAACUGCUGGGCAUACUGGCUAUCUUGAGGCAAGUAGGGGUGUAUGGAACUCUAGGUGGAGCGGUGGAAUGCGUAGAUAUCUAGAGGAACGCCGGUGGUGAAAACAGUACACUGGGCUUGUUCUGACGCUGAGGUGCGAAAGCGUGGGUAGCGAACGGGAUUAGAUACCCCGGUAGUCCACGCCGUAAACGAUGUCUACUAGGUUGUGGUGGGUCUGACCCUGGCACAGCCGAAGCAAAAGUGUUAAGUAGACCGCCUGGGGAGUACGGUCGCAAGGCUAAAACUCAAAGGAAUUGACGGGUGCUCACACAAGCGGUGGAGCAUGUGGCUUAAUUCGAAUCAACGCGAAGAACCUUAUCCUGGAUUUGACAUGUUUGGAUGCCCUUGGUGAAAGCCAAGUAAGCUGCCUUCGGGUGAAACUUACACAGGUGCUGCAUGGCUGUCGUCAGCUCGUGUCGUGAGAUGUUGGGUUAUGUCCCUUAACGAGCGAAACCCCUAUCGUUAGUUACCAGCGCGUUAUGGCGGGGACUCUAGCGAGACUGCCGGUGUUAAAUCGGAGGAAGGUGGGGAUGACGUCAAGUCCUCAUGGCCUUUAUGUCCAGGGCUGCACACGUGCUACAAUGGCAACUACAAACCGACGCGAGACCGCGAGGUGGGGCAAAUCGGAAAAAAGUUGCCUCAGUUCGGAUUGCAGGCUGCAACUCGCCUGCAUGAAGUUGGAAUCGCUAGUAAUCGCGGAUCAGCAUGCCGCGGUGAAUAUGUUCCUGAGCAUUGUACACACCGCCCGUCAAGUCACGGAAGCUGGGAGUACCUGAAGUCGGGUAGCUAACUUUUUAAGAGGCGCCUGCCGAUGGUAAGCUCGGUAACUGGGGCUAAGUCGAAACAAGGUA